rnacentral:rRNA from 1 species
AUGGAAGAUCCACCAAGCGAUAGCGGGCAAUCAGCAAACGGCACUGAGCCUGAUCUGGACCAUAUGCAAUUGGAUGACAAUGAAGAGAGCAUGUCCCAUACCAUGGAUGAUUCAAAUGGACAGUCUUCUAUGGAUGUUGACAGAGAACAGCUUUCUAUGGAUGCUGAUAUGAAUGGGAAACCAUCCUCGGAUGGUGAUGGUAAGGGAAAGUACUCUUCCGAGUCACAUGCAGAAGUUCCAAUUGACAUGAGCUUGGGAAGCCUAGAGAAGUUUUGCAAGGAAGCAUCAAGGUCAUUUUUUGAUGAGUUUGGUCUGAUUAGCCAUCAGAUAAAUUCAUACAAUGAGUUUGUCUCGCAUGGGCUCCAAGAGCUUUUUGAUUCGCUUGGAGAAGUGACUGUCGAGCCAAAUUAUGAUCCCUCAAAGAAAGGAUUCGGUGGUUGGAGGCAUGCUGUCAUCAGGUUUGGUAGAGUGAAACUGGAAAAGCCUGUAUUUUGGUCUGGCAGAGAUGAUAUUGAUGAGGAGUCACUUAAGCUUAAGCCUAGACAUGCUCGCCUCCAAAAUAUGACAUAUUCCUCCAAAAUGGAAGUAGAAGUGCAUAUUCAGAUUUAUUCAAUGGAGAAAAAUGACAAGUCUAAAACAGAGAAAGAUACUUUUGGUCACAAGAGAGUUCUUAUGGAUGAAACUCAUGUGGUGAAUAUUGGUCGCGUUCCAGUUAUGGUUAAUUCAAAUUUAUGCUGGUUGCAUGAACUCAAGGAAAGUGACUGCCUUUAUGAUUCUGGUGGAUACUUUUUGAUCAGGGGAAUGGAGAAGAUAUUUAUCGCCCAAGAGCAAAGAUGCUUGACCAGGAUUUGGAUUGCGGACCGGCCUGUCUGGACUGUUUCUUAUUUGUCUGAAAUCAAACGAAGACGCAUAUAUGUGAAGCUGAUUGAUUCUACAAAGAAUAAUGAUUUCAGUGGCAGCAAAAUCAUUUCCAUUUCCUUCUUGUAUGCCAAUCUGCCGAUUUGGCUAAUGUUUUUUGCGCUAGGCGUAUCAUCUGAUAAGGAAGCAUUUGAUAUGAUAGAUAUGGGAGACUGUGAUGCUUCUGUUAUCAACGCGAUAUCUGCAACUAUUAGUGAAUCUGACGAACUGUGUGAAGGCUUUCGUAAGUCUGAUAAAGCCCGCCAGUGUGUUGAUGAUUUGGUCAAGAGUUCAAAAUUUCCUCCAGGAGAGUCGUUUGAUGAUUAUAUCGCCAAAUAUCUCUUUCCUGGUAUAAAGGGGAAUAGGAAUAAAGCUCUUUUCUUAGGUUACAUGGUCAAAUGCCUUCUAAUGGCCUUUACUGGGAAGCGCAGAUGUGAUAAUAAGGAUGAUUUCAGGAACAAGAGGCUGGAGUUACCUGGUCAACUGCUUGGAAGGGAACUUCGGGCGCAUCUUAGGCAUGCAGAGAGGCUCAUGGUUAAGGCCAUGCAGAGAGAUUUGAAUAGUGAUCGUGAUCUAGAAUUUCCAAUGCGCUAUCUUGAUGCUUCAAUUAUUACUAAUGGUAUAAAUCGUGCCUUCGCUACUGGUUCUUGGUGCCAUCCCUACAGAAGAAAUGAAAGAUGCUCAGGAAUUGUUGCAACGCUCAGGAGAACAAAUCCUCUUCAAAUGAUGUCAGACUUGAGGAAAAGUCGCCAGCAGGUUGCUUAUGCUGGGAAAGCUGGUGAUGCAAGAUAUCCCAAUCCAUCUUACUGGGGAAAGAUGUGUUUUAUGUCCACUCCUGAUGGUGAAAACUGUGGACUUGUGAAAAAUCUAGCUGUUACUGCUAUUGUUAGCUCUAGAGUGGCACAGCCAUUGAUUGAUAGAUUUGUUUCUUGUGGAAUGAAUAAACUGGAUGAAAUUCCUGCUAAGAAGAUUCCCCAAAUGGACAAGAUCUUCCUGAAUGGUGAUUGGGUGGGAUCCUGUGCUGAUCCAGCUUCAUUUGUCAUGCGUUUAAGGUGCAUGAGACGUGGUGGUCUGAUCGAUCCACAGGUUGAAAUCAAAAGGGACAAGCACCAUUCUCCCGGAGAAGUACGGGUGUUUUCUGAUGCAGGGCGAUUACUCAGGCCUCUUCUUGUGGUUGAGAACCUAAAUAAAAUUACAAAACGGAAGGGCUCUCCGUACUCUUUUCAGGCACUAAUGCAGCAAGAAAUUAUUGAGUUCAUUGGUGUUGAAGAGGAGGAAGAUAUACAAUGUGCCUGGGGAAUCAGGCACCUAUUUCAGAGUAGUGGAGAGGAGGUUUCUGGUUAUACUCACUGUGAGCUGGAUCUUUCUUUUCUGUUGGGAUUAAGCUGUGGUCUUAUCCCUUUUGCAAAUCAUAAUUUUGCUCGAAGGGUGCUGUACCAAGCAGAAAAACACUCACAGCAAGCUAUUGGAUACUCCACAACAAAUCCACUUACCAGAGUUGAUACUCUUUCUCAUCAGCUUUACUACCCUCAGAGACCCCUUUUCAAAACAGUUUCAGCUGAUUGCAUCGGCAGAUCAGAUUAUACUUUUGGAAGAAACGAUGACUUUGCUAGGCCUGAAUAUUUCAAUGGACAAAAUGCGAUAGUUGCAGUCAAUAUUCAUCAGGGAUUUAACCAAGAGGACUCCCUGGUUAUGAAUAGAGCUUCUCUUGAACGUGGUAUGUUUAGAACUGAGCUCAUGCGGAGCUAUAAGGCAGAAGUAGAGACCAAAGGGCCCAACAAACGACUAAAAAUGAAGGAGAAAGUAAACUUCGGCAAAAUGGAAAGCAAGAGAGGACGAGUUGACAAUCUUGAUGAUGAUGGAUUACCUUUUGUGGGUUCAAGUCUUCAGAUUGGUGACAUUAUAAUUGGGAAAGUGUCAGAAUCUGGUGAAGACCACAGUAUUAAGCUGAAGCAUACAGAGAAGGGAAUGGUCCAGAGAGUGCUGCUCUCAGCCAAUGAUGAGGGGAAGCAUUUUGCUGUUGUAUCUUUAAGACAGGUUCGAUCACCUUGUGUUGGAGAUAAAUUUUCUAGCAUGCAUGGACAGAAAGGUGUUGUUGGUUUUCUGGAAUCUCAGGAGAACUUCCCUUUUACCUGCCAAGGAAUAGUUCCGGACAUCGUGAUAAAUCCACACGCCUUUCCUACCCGUCAAACUCCAGGCCAGCUGCUUGAAGCUGCUUUGGGAAAGGGAAUCGCUCUUGGUGGUAAAAUCAGAUAUGCAACACCAUUCACCACAGCAACAGUUGAAGUGAUCUCGGAACAGUUGCACAAGCUUGGGUUUUCAAGAGUGGGAGCUGAAAGCGUUCUCAACGGCCAAACCGGCAAAAGGAUGCAGCAACUGAUCUUCGCAGGCCCCAACUUCUACCAGAGGCUGAUCCACAUGGCCGAGGACAAGGUGAAGUUCCGCAACACGGGGCCGGUGCACCCGCUCACGAGGCAGCCCGUCGCGGACAGGAAGAGGUUCGGCGGGGUCAAGUUCGGGGAGAUGGAGCGCGACUGCCUGCUGGCCCAUGGCGCGGCCGCCAACCUCCACGAGCGGCUCUUCACGCUGAGCGACUUCUCGGAGAUGCGCAUCUGCCAGACGUGCGAGCGGGGGGCGAACGUCAUCAUGCGGCCCGUCGCGGGCGGGCGGAAGAUCCGGGGCCCCUACUGCGGGUUCUGCAAGUCCUCGGAGAACAUCGUCAAGAUCGCCGUCCCCUACGGUGCCAAGCUGCUCUACCAGGAGCUCUUCAGCAUGGGCAUCUGCCUCAAGUUCCAGACGGAGGUCUGCUAG